UGAGCAACCUGCCCUUGACUCUGGAAUAACAGUUGGAAACAGCUGCUAAUACCGGAUAUGACCUCCGAUGGCAUCAUCUGGAGGUGGAAAGCUCCGACGGUCAAGGAUGGGCUCGCGGCCUAUCAGCUUGUUGGUGAGGUAACGGCUCACCAAGGCUUCGACGGGUAGCCGGCCUGAGAGGGCGACCGGCCACACUGGGACUGAGAUACCGGCCCAGACCUCUACGGGGAGG
rnacentral:rRNA from 1 species